GCUUAGCGUGGUGGCGCAUACCUGUAGUCCCAGCUACUCAAGAGGCUGAGGCUGGAGGAUCACUUUAGUUCAAGAGAUCUGGGUUGUAGUGGCCUAUGCUGAUCUGAUCAGGUGUCUGUACUAAGUUUGGCAUAAUUAUGAUGACCUUCCAGGAAUGGGAGACCACCAGUUUCCCUAAGGAGAGCUGAACAGGCCCAGGAUGAAAAUGAAGUAAGUCAAAACUCCCGUAGUGAUUAGUUAUGGAAUGGCACCUGUGAAUAGCUGCUGCUCUCCAGCCUACGUAGCGAAACCUCAUAUCU
rnacentral:SRP_RNA from 1 species